UAUUCUGCCCAUGCGGGAAGGAUGAGAAGCUUCGAUUAAGGUUCGGUUCGAGCGUCAGCGAGAAAGCGUUGCCGCAGGCAACGACCCGAAGGGCGAAACGCACAGCGCGGAGUCAUCCUUCCCCCACCACCA
rnacentral:sRNA from 2 species